GCUACCGAAGGCAUCAGUAACAUCAGCUACAGGAACAAAACAAAGGCUCACAAGCAUAUGAGUUUGCUUACGCAAGGUAUUGUCGACGGGAUCAUUAUAGGCAACUUGAAGGCCUUCUGCUUGGAUUUUUCUAUAUAUAGACUGUUUGAGAUGAAAAUAGCAACAAUUUAUUUGAGUGUUAGGAUAUUCCGAGUGACAUGCAUUUAUAAUGGCUAAUUCGUAAUCAGAAACAAUCCUCUGAGGUCUACAGUGAUGUAUUCCGUACGCCACAGCAGCAGAAGUAACUGAUUUGAAAACAGCUUGGUACUGAUGGGUUUCUUUGGAUGAUAGGAGGGCAUACACCAAAGGAGAAGCUAUGACGGUCGGUUGAUGGUGAAACCUUGAAAGUGACAUCUACGUACCAAGUGUCACUGUCGACUAAUCGCUCCAAGUUAUUUCGUGUGGCGAAAACCAAUACGCGUCCCUCACCAAAAGUGUCAUCCCCUCGAGAGUCAUAGCAGAGAAAGCGUUCGUUGGACAAUGUUUUUUGAAAACGGUCAGGCAGUUCCUCGACGUCGUCUAAACUCUUCGGGUUAGGUGGUAGGUGCCGUCUCCUUUCCCUCCUUACACUCUUUUUUAGGCUCUCACGCUCAGGGAGUUUUGCCAAAACUUCAGGACGCAAGUCACCGAGAUGUUCGCGUAAAAUCUAUUUUAUAAAAUAUGCAAUUUUUUCUAAUUUCUAAUUUGUUAUAAAAAAUUGAGACAAAGAAUCUUGUAUUAAAUGUAAUAUUGUUUUUUUAUUAUAUUGUCGUAGCGGUCUGUGCAUAAUACGCUGAGCAUAGUGAAGCGAAUAUUCGUGUCGGUAAACGACCGAAUUAAUUGAUUUUGUUCUUAAACUUGACGACUUCACCGUUCCUGUUUGUGAUCAACGCAACGAGUACUCGAGAGCGAGAAAUAUACCUGUGAUAAGAAAGCUAUAAUCUAAUUAACGUGGUGGCCUGCAAAGCGGUCCAUUGAAUUACGAUCCUCUUAAGAGUAGCUGUGUAAACGCCAGUAUUUGCGAUCACAUUGUUAUAUUGAACGAACGACCUGUAUGUGUAUAUAUUUAAAUCAACGUAUCUGAUCAGAUAUUAAUUAUAAUAAUUAAAUUGUAUAGUCCGAAUCAAGUUUUGAAAGUAUAUUUAUCCCUCAAGCGACUUUUACUGCUCUAUCGAAACUGAUACCAAAAAUUUUCCCGAGUGAAUCUGCGGUCACCUAUUACAGCCCUUAUAAAAAUGAAAAUGGCGUUGUGGUUCAAACUUCAGGCACGCUAUGGUCGCAUUAUAAUUAUGUUAUUGAGAUUCUAAGAAAGACAGGAGUAUUAAAACAUCCACGUCAUCUUGUGGAACAGAAACCUCAAGCUGAAGAAUCUUCAGAAGAAAUAUUGAAUUGUAUUCUGGCAAAAUUUCAAUUACGGAUUAUUUGAAUAAGUAUCCGGUUUUAAAAACACAAGACGCAAAGCAGUUGUUCGAGCUUGACUUCGAUCUUCGUUAUCCAGAAAAAAAAGAUCUGGUAAAAAUCAGGUGGCCAGGUAUAAAAAGUGUCAUUACUUCACAAUUAAUUCAAUUGGAGACAAAAGCUGCUACUGGUCGUUCGAAACUUCCAACUGCAGAUGUUCUUCUUAUAAAAGGAUUGGGGAAAUUAGAAGAAGAUGAGAAAGACCAAAAAUAUUUUGAUUUGCUUAAUUUCCUUUUUUGAAUGAAAUAAUUACAAGAAUGUUUAUAAUUUUUUAACUUAAAUUUAUUUUUAAA